CCUGCCCCUAGACGGGUUGCGGGUGUGCCUGCUGUGUCACGCGAGCAUUAGGAGGUGCAAAGAGAGAGAGGUUAUGUCUCUGCCCAGUGUUCUGACCUGCAAACAUCUGAAUGACUAGUAGCCUGACAUU
ensembl:snoRNA Gm23132 small nucleolar RNA SNORA17